rnacentral:misc_RNA from 1 species
GAUGAAGAACGUAGCAAAAUGCGAUACUUGGUGUGAAUUGCAGAAUCCCGUGAACCAUCGAGUUUUUGAACGCAAGUUGCGCCCGAAGCCUUUUGGCCGAGGGCACGUCUGCCUGGGCGUCACGCAUCGCGUCGCCCCCCCACAAUUCUCCGUAAAGGGAACAUGUGUUUUGGGGGCGGAUAUUGGUCUCCCGUGCUCAUGGCGUGGUUGGCCGAAAUAGGAGUCCUUUCGAUGGGCGCACGAACUAGUGGUGGUCGUAAAAACCCUCGUCUUUUGUUUCGUGCUGUUGCUCGCAAGGUAAACUCUUUAAAAACCCCAAUGCGUCGUCUCUUGACGACGCUUCGACCGCGACCCCAGGUCAGGCGGGACUACCCGCUGAGUUUAAGCAUAUCAAUAAGCGGAGGA